ACAAAUAUUUUUAAAUAGUCAUACAAAAUUAAUGUCUAAAGUAGAACAACUCUAAAUUUUUUUUAACAUAUUAAAUACAUUUAAAUUAUAAAUUUUUUAACCUACAUUCAAAAUUUUUUAAAUAAGUGAUACAAAAUUAAUGUCUAAAAUAUAGGAAUUUAAAAGUUUCUUAAAUAUAUUAAAUAUGUUGAAUUAAAAUAUUUACCAACAUUACAAUUUUUUAAAAUAGUAAUACAAAAUUCCUCUAAUUUAAAUUUCACUUUUAAAUUUUAAAUAUUUAAUAUUUAAAAUUUAAAUUCAUCGCAUUUAGAAAUAGAACUAUUUCUAAAAUUUCUAUAAUUUAAAUUAAUGCAUAAUUUUAGAAACACUAAAACAUUUAAAGUAGAUGCCUAAAUAAUCCUUUUACCUGCUAAAUAUUAAAAUUACAUUUUUACCCUCUAUUAAUCAACGGUUAAGAUCUUUUUUAUUUUUUUUUUUAAAAGUACCGAAUUAUUUCUCUUCUCCAUAUUAUUCUACUGCAUCUUUUCUUUUCUAUUCUCUUUUUUUUUUUU
rnacentral:lncRNA from 1 species